rnacentral:rRNA from 1 species
GAUGAACGCUGGCGGCGUGCCUAAUACAUGCAAGUCGAGCGAACAGACGAGGAGCUUGCUCCUCUGACGUUAGCGGCGGACGGGUGAGUAACACGUGGAUAACCUACCUCUUAGACUGGGAUAACUUCGGGAAACCGGAGCUAAUACCGGAUAAUAUAUUGAACCGCAUGGUUCAAUAGUGAAAGACGGUUUUGCUGUCACUUAUAGAUGGAUCCGCGCCGCAUUAGCUAGUUGGUAAGGUAACGGCUUACCAAGGCAACGAUGCGUAGCCGACCUGAGAGGGUGAUCGGCCACACUGGAACUGAGACACGGUCCAGACUCCUACGGGAGGCAGCAGUAGGGAAUCUUCCGCAAUGGGCGAAAGCCUGACGGAGCAACGCCGCGUGAGUGAUGAAGGUCUUCGGAUCGUAAAACUCUGUUAUUAGGGAAGAACAAAUGUGUAAGUAACUAUGCACGUCUUGACGGUACCUAAUCAGAAAGCCACGGCUAACUACGUG